rnacentral:rRNA from 1 species
GUGUCAGCCGCCGCGGUAAUACAGAGGAGGCAAGCGUUGUUCGGAAUCACUGGGCUUAAAGGGCGCGUAGGCGGCCCGGCCAGUGUCCUGUGAAAUCCCCCGGCUCAACCGGGGAAUGGCAGGGCAUACUGCCGGGCUUGAGGCGGAUAGGGGUGCCUGGAACUCUAGGUGGAGCGGUGAAAUGCGUAGAUAUCUAGAGGAACGCCCGUGGCGAAAGCGGGGCACUGGGUCCGUCCUGACGCUGAGGCGCGAAAGCGUGGGUAGCAAACGGGAUUAGAUACCCCGGUAGUCCACGCCGUAAACUAUGCGCACUAGGUUUGCCGGUCUCUGACGAUCGGCGGGCCGAAGCAAAAGUCCUAAGUGCGCCGCCUGGGGAGUACGGCCGCAAGGCUGAAACUCAAAGGAAUUGGCGG